rnacentral:rRNA from 1 species
GGUAACUUAUUCUACUAAUCAAUAAUAAUGGAUCUAAGAAUCAUAAAUAAAUGUAUAGUAAAUAAUAAAAGUUAAAUAUAUAUCUUUUGUCGCCCCAACAAAAAAGUCUAAUCAACAGCAGUAAAAAUGAAACACAACAGACAUUAAAAUUGACCAUUAAAGCUCUAUAGGGUCUUCUCGUCUUCCAAAAGAAUUUGAGCCUUUUAACUCAAAAGCUAAAUUUUAACUUAUUUAAUUGAGACAGUUAGAGCCUCGUCAAGCCCUUCAUUCCAGCCCCCUAUUAAAAGACUAAUGAUUAUGCUACCUUUGCACGGUCAAAAUACCGCGGCCGUUAAAUAAUUAUCACCGGGCAGGCUUGACCUCAUAUAAUAAAACAAGAGGAC